GAUGAACGCUGGCGGCGUGCCUAAUACAUGCAAGUCGAGCGAACAGACGAGGAGCUUGCUCCUCUGACGUUAGCGGCGGACGGGUGAGUAACACGUGGAUAACCUACCUAUAAGACUGGGAUAACUUCGGGAAACCGGAGCUAAUACCGGAUAAUAUAUUGAACCGCAUGGUUCAAUAGUGAAAGACGGUUUUGCUGUCACUUAUAGAUGGAUCCGCGCCGCAUUAGCUAGUUGGUAAGGUAACGGCUUACCAAGGCAACGAUGCGUAGCCGACCUGAGAGGGUGAUCGGCCACACUGGAACGGAGACACGGUCCAGACUCCUACGGGAGGCAGCAGUAGGGAAUCUUCCGCAAUGGGCGAAAGCCUGACGGAGCAACGCCGCGUGAGUGAUGAAGGUCUUCGGAUCGUAAAACUCUGUGAUUAGGGAAGAACAAAUGUGUAAGUAACUAUGCACGUCUUGACGGUACCUAAUCAGAAAGCCACGGCUAACUACGUG
rnacentral:rRNA from 1 species